UACAGAGGGUGCAAGCGUUAAUCGGAAUUACUGGGCGUAAAGCGUGCGUAGACGGUUAUUUAAGUCAGGUGUGAAAGCCCAGGGCUCAACCUUGGAAUUGCAUUUGAGACUGAAUAGCUAGGGUGCGGAAGAGGGAAGCGGAAUUUCCGGUGUAGCGGUGAAAUGCGUAGAUAUCGGAAGGAACACCAAUGGCGAAGGCAGCUCGCUGGGACGUGACUGACGCUGAGACGCGAAAGCGUGGGGAGCAAACAGG
rnacentral:rRNA from 1 species